rnacentral:lncRNA from 1 species
UCGUUGAUGUUUAUAAGGUUUGUGAGAAUUUAGGUAAGGAUGAACAAAUUUUGGUCAAAUUCUUCAAUUGCUUAUAUUUGGAUUGAAUUCUGUUCUGAAUCAUCUUGAUAAAACUAAUUCUUUUUUCACAGAAGUUUUCAUCAAGAUUGCAAUUCCUUAAAACACUUUAUUUAAAUUCAAAAUCUUUACAGAUAAUGCUUUGUUGAAAUUCAUAUAAACAAGUAAAAGCACAUUUUGAAAUAAAAAUGAAAGGUUGUCUUGAUUUUCACCGUGAUUUUGAAGAAUUAUGCAUUAAGCUGGGUAUAAUUUCUUCAAAAACAAACUUGAGGAUUAAUGUUUUCUUUUUUGAUUUAUAUUGUCAUUAUAUAUAAUUCUAAUUAAUGUUUUUUGUGUUCUUAUCUUUUCCUAGGUACAUAACCUGCUCGAGGAUUAGAAAUGUCAAAUGCUCACUCUGGGAUUGAAGUAAAGUAGAAUAGUAAAUUUCACCCCUCUGCUGAACACCAGUGUUCCUCUCAAUUUGCUUAAAUCAGCUUCACCAACUUUAGAAUUACCUCUGUUUUCUAGUGUCAUUUGUUGGCUAUGUAUUUUGUUUGAUGUCUGUGACAAAAACAUGUCAAGAAUUUC